rnacentral:rRNA from 1 species
AACGAACGCUGGCGGCAUGCUUAACACAUGCAAGUCGAACGGGCUAGAGCAAUCUAGUCAGUGGCAGACGGGUGAGUAACGCGUGGGAACGUACCUUUUAGUUCGGAACAACGUCUGGAAACGGACGCUAAUACCGUAUGUGCCCGAGAGGGGAAAGAUUUAUCGCUAAGAGAGCGGCCCGCGUUGGAUUAGGUAGUUGGUAGGGUAAUGGCCUACCAAGCCGAUGAUCUAUAGCUGGUCUGAGAGGAUGAUCAGCCACACUGGGACUGAGGCACGGCCCAGACUCCUACGGGAGGCAGCAGUGGGGAAUAUUGGACAAUGGGGGAAACCCUGAUCCAGCAAUGCCGCGUGAGUGAAGAAGGCCUUCGGGUUGUAAAACUCUUUUGGCAGGGACGAUUAUGACGGUACCUGCAGAAUAAGCCCCGGCUAACUUCGUGCCAGCCGCCGCCGUAA